UCAGCCCGUGCGUGCAGAUUUCCUGUGACUUCUCAUAAUUUCGAGCGGUGCCACGUGACUGCGCCAGAAAACCCUCGCUGUAGGAUGUGCUUUCGUUCUGAGUUGCCUCAAUAAAACUGAUCCCUGGAGGAUGCUCAGUCAAGUCAUCUGGGAAAGGAGCUGGACUCGGAAACCUCAUCUGCUGGGCAGAGCCUGGGUGUCCUUUGCUUCUCGGGAAAAGUCUGAAGCCAAGGCCAGUGCAUCUGGGUAACGUACCCACCAGCACCCUGUGGCGUCCUGGGGACCGGAGCAGCAAAGCAAUAAAGGGUGGUGGAAUAUGAAUGUAAACAUCGUGGCUGAAGGCUGCGUAGGGCACUGUGCUCCCGCCGCUCUCCCUCGGCAGGCACGCCGUGCGCCAGCCAGCGGAGAAGGGAAGGAGAGUCG